rnacentral:rRNA from 1 species
GACGAACGCUGGCGGCGUGCUUAACACAUGCAAGUCGAACGGAAAGGCCCUGCUUGCCGGGUACUCGAGUGGCGAACGGGUGAGUAACACGUGGGUGAUCUGCCCUGCACUUCGGGAUAAGCCUGGGAAACUGGGUCUAAUACCGGAUAGGAGCCAUUUUUAGUGUGAUGGUUGGAAAGUUUUUCGGUGUAGGAUGGGCUCGCGGCCUAUCAGCUUGUUGGUGGGGUAAUGGCCUACCAAGGCGGCGACGGGUAGCCGGCCUGAGAGGGUGGACGGCCACAUUGGGACUGAGAUACGGCCCAGACUCCUACGGGAGGCAGCAGUGGGGAAUAUUGCACAAUGGGCGCAAGCCUGAUGCAGCGACGCCGCGUGGGGGAUGACGGCCUUCGGGUUGUAAACUCCUUUCGCUAGGGACGAAGCUUUUUGUGACGGUACCUAGAUAAGAAGCACCGGCUAACUACGUG